rnacentral:rRNA from 1 species
GACGAACGCUGGCGGCGUGCCUAAUACAUGCAAGUAGAACGCUGAAGGAGGAGCUUGCUUCUCUGGAUGAGUUGCGAACGGGUGAGUAACGCGUAGGUAACCUGCCUGGUAGUGGGGGAUAACUAUUGGAAACGAUAGCUAAUACCGCAUAAUAGCAGUUGUUGCAUGAUAACUGUUUGAAAGGUGCAAUUGCACCGCUACCAGAUGGACCUGCGUUGUAUUAGCUAGUUGGUGGGGUAACGGCUCACCAAGGCGACGAUACAUAGCCGACCUGAGAGGGGGAUCGGCCACACUGGGACGGGGACACGGCCCAGACUCCUACGGGAGGCAGCAGUAGGGAAUCUUCGGCAAUGGACGGAAGUCUGACCGAGCAACGCCGCGUGAGUGAAGAAGGUUUUCGGAUCGUAAAGCUCUGUUGUAAGAGAAGAACGAGUGUGAGAGUGGAAAGUUCACACUGUGACGGUAUCUUACCAGAAAGGGACGGCUAACUACGUG